rnacentral:rRNA from 1 species
AUUAAACGCUGGCGGCAUGCCUUACACAUGCAAGUCGAACGGCAGCACGGGGGCAACCCUGGUGGCGAGUGGCGAACGGGUGAGUAAAGCAUCGGAACGUGCCCUGGAGUGGGGGAUAACGUAGCGAAAGUUACGCUAAUACCGCAUAUUCUGUGAGCAGGAAAGCAGGGGAUCGCAAGACCUUGCGCUCUGGGAGCGGCCGAUGUCGGAUUAGCUAGUUGGUGGGGUAAAGGCCUACCAAGGCGACGAUCCGUAGCGGGUCUGAGAGGAUGAUCCGCCACACUGGGACUGAGACACGGCCCAGACUCCUACGGGAGGCAGCAGUGGGGAAUUUUGGGACAAUGGGCGAAAGCCUGAUCCAGCCAUGCCGCGUGAGUGAAGAAGGCCU